rnacentral:rRNA from 1 species
UGUUUCGGCAAGGGGGUCAUCCCGACUUACCAACCCGAUGCAAACUGCGAAUACCGGAGAAUGUUAUCACGGGAGACACACGGCGGGUGCUAACGUCCGUCGUGAAGAGGGAAACAACCCAGACCGCCAGCUAAGGUCCCAAAGUCAUGGUUAAGUGGGAAACGAUGUGGGAAGGCCCAGACAGCCAGGAUGUUGGCUUAGAAGCAGCCAUCAUUUAAAGAAAGCGUAAUAGCUCACUGGUCGAGUCGGCCUGCGCGGAAGAUGUAACGGGGCUAAACCAUGCACCGAAGCUGCGGCAGCGACGCUGAUGCGUUGUUGGGUAGGGGAGCGUUCUGUAAGCCUGUGAAGGUGUGCUGUGAGGCAUGCUGGAGGUAUCAGAAGUGCGAAUGCUGACAUAAGUAACGAUAAAGCGGGUGAAAAGCCCGCUCGCCGGAAGACCAAGGGUUCCUGUCCAACGUUAAUCGGGGCAGGGUGAGUCGACCCCUAAGGCGAGGCCGAAAGGCGUAGUCGAUGGGAAACAGGUUAAUAUUCCUGUACUUGGUGUUACUGCGAAGGGGGGACGGA